AACAACAAGUGCAACUGCAGCAGCAGCAGCAGCACAACAACAGCAACAGCAAACGGCAAUAAAAAUAAAUCAUUUAAAAAACGCCGCGCCAAAAGAAUUUGCCAAAUUACGCGUUCAUUUCUUUGCCAGCGCUGCUCGUGCAUUGACCGAAUUUUAACAGCAGCCGCAGCAGCAGCAGCAGCAGCAACAGCCACAAACAACAGCAACAAACAACAGCAGUUGCCAAAAUGGAUGCAGAG